ACGAACGCUGGCGGCGUGCUUAACACAUGCAAGUCGUACGAUGACCCGGCUCUUCGGCGCUGGUGAUUAGUGGCGAACGGGUGAGUAACACGUGGGUGACCUGCCCUGCACUCUGGGAUAAGCCCGGGAAACUGGGUCUAAUACUGGAUACGACCAGUGGCCGCAUGGUCUGCUGGUGGAAAGCCCUUCGGGGUGGUGUGGGAUGGGCCCGCGGCCUAUCAGCUUGUUGGUGGGGUGAUGGCCUACCAAGGCGACGACGGGUAGCCGGCCUGAGAGGGUGUCCGGCCACACUGGGACUGAGACACGGCCCAGACUCCUACGGGAGGCAGCAGUGGGGAAUCUAGCACAAUGGGCGAAAGCCUGAUGCAGCGACGCCGCGUGAGGGAUGACGGCCUUCGGGUUGUAAACCUCUUUCGGCAGGGAACAAGCCUGGGGGUUUUCUUCUGGGUGAGGGUACCUGCGGAAGAAGCACCGGCUAACUACGU
rnacentral:rRNA from 1 species